AGGACCGAUGGUGGCGGCGAGAGAGAGCGAGAGGGUGACUUGGCCGGUACAAUGGCGUGGAGGAAGGACGUCGAUCAAAAAGGGCUUCAACCCUGAUCGAUGGAACACUCGACCGGAGAGGGAGGACGACCGAUGGCUGGCGCCGAGCUCGAUCGGGAAUGGAGGGAGGAAAAGGACCAAUGGUGGUGGCGGCGAGAGAGAGCGAGAGGGUGACUUGGCCGGCACGGUGGC
rnacentral:lncRNA from 1 species